UGCCAGCCGCCGCGGUAAUACGAAGGGACCUAGCGUAGUUCGGAAUUACUGGGCUUAAGGAGUUCGUAGGUGGUUAAAAAAGUUGAUGGUGAAAUCCCAAGGCUCAACCUUGGAACUGCCAUCAAAACUUUUUAGCUAGAGUGUGAUAGAGGAAAGUGGAAUUUCUAGUGUAGAGGUGAAAUUCGUAGAUAUUAGAAAGAACAUCAAAAGCGAAGGCAACUUUCUGGAUCAUUACUGACACUGAGGAACGAAAGCAUUGGUAGCGAAGAGGAUUAGAUA
rnacentral:rRNA from 1 species